rnacentral:rRNA from 1 species
CCUUCCGGAGCCGACGAGUGGCGGACGGGUGAGUAACGCGUAAGAAUCUGCCUUAUAGUGGGGGACAACGUGGGGAAACCCACGCUAAUACCGCAUACGCCCUACGGGGGAAAGGAGGGGAUCUUCGGACCUUUCGCUAUGAGAUGAGCCUGCGUUAGAUUAGCUAGUUGGUAGGGUAAAGGCCUACCAAGGCGACGAUCUAUAGCUGGUCUGAGAGGACGAUCAGCCACACUGGGACUGAGACACGGCCCAGACUCCUACGGGAGGCAGCAGUGGGGAAUAUUGGACAAUGGGCGGAAGCCUGAUCCAGCAAUACCGCGUGUGUGAAGAAGGCCUUAGGGUUGUAAAGCACUUUCAAUUGGGAGGAAAACCUGUCGGUCAAUACCCGGCAGCUUGACAUUACCUUUAGAAGAAGCACCGGCUAACUCCGUGCCAGCAGCCGCGGUAAUACGGAGGGUGCGAGCGUUAAUCGGAAUUACUGGGCGUAAAGCGUGCGUAGGCGGUUCGUUAAGUCAGAUGUGAAAGCCCUGGGCUCAACCUGGGAACUGCAUUUGAAACUGGCGGACUAGAGUUUAGUAGAGGGGAGUGGAAUUUCAGGUGUAGCGGUGAAAUGCGUAGAUAUCUGAAGGAACACCAGUGGCGAAGGCGACUCCCUGGACUAGAACUGACGCUGAGGUACGAAAGCGUGGGUAGCAAACAGGAUUAGAUACCCUGGUAGUCCACGCCGUAAACGAUGUCGACUAGCCGUUGGUCCUAUUUACAGGAUUAGUGGCGCAGCUAACGCAUUAAGUCAACCGCCUGGGGAGUACGGCCGCAAGGUUAAAACUCAAAUGAAUUGACGGGGGCCCGCACAAGCGGUGGAGCAUGUGGUUUAAUUCGAUGCAUCGCGAAGAACCUUACCUACCCUUGACAUCCAAUGAAUC